UACGAAGGGGGCUAGCGUUGCUCGGAAUUACUGGGCGUAAAGGGUUCGUAGGUGGCUUGCUAAGUCAGACGUGAAAUCCCUCAGCUCAACUGGGGAACUGCGUCUGAGACAGGCGAGCUUGAGUGCAGGAGAGGAAUGCGGAAUUCCAGGUGUAGCGGUGAAAUGCGUAGAUAUCUGGAGGAACACCGGUGGCGAAGGCGGCGUUCUGGACUGCAACUGACACUGAGGAACGAAAGCCAGGGGAGCAAACGGG
rnacentral:rRNA from 1 species